GAUGAACGCUGGCGGCGUGCCUAAUACAUGCAAGUCGAGCGAACGGACGAGAAGCUUGCUUCUCUGAUGUUAGCGGCGGACGGGUGAGUAACACGUGGAUAACCUACCUAUAAGACUGGGAUAACUUCGGGAAACCGUAGCUAAUACCGGAUAUAUUUUGAACCGCAUGGUUCAAAAGUGAAAGACGGUCUUGCUGUCACUUAUAGAUGGAUCCGCGCUGCAUUAGCUAGUUGGUAAGGUAACGGCUUACCAAGGCAACGAUGCAUAGCCGACCUGAGAGGGUGAUCGGCCACACUGGAACUGAGACACGGUCCAGACUCCUACGGGAGGCAGCAGUAGGGAAUCUUCCGCAAUGGGCGAAAGCCUGACGGAGCAACGCCGCGUGAGUGAUGAAGGUCUUCGGAUCGUAAAACUCUGUUAUUAGGGAAGAACAUAUGUGUAAGUAACUGUGCACAUCUUGACGGUACCUAAUCAGAAAGCCACGGCUAACUACGUG
rnacentral:rRNA from 1 species